rnacentral:tRNA from 1 species
GGAGCGGUGGCCGAGUGGCUGAAGGCACCAGACUUGAAAUCUGGCGUACGGGCAACCGUAUCGAGGGUUCGAAUCCCUCCCGCUCCG